rnacentral:tRNA from 1 species
GCGGGUAUAGUUCAAUGGUAGAACGUCAGCCUUCCAAGCUGAACAUGCGGGUUCGAUUCCCGCUACCCGCUCCA